UGCUGCCUUAGGUACACGAUUGCAGAUGCUACAGGUCACUUUACUGUGAGGAUGAAGCAAAACUCCUUUGUAAAUUUUUGUUUAUAGUUGAAUAACUAUGAACCCGAAAUAUUUUGUUGCAUUUUACUUGUUGGGAGCAGAGGGAGGAAAAUCCUAACUCAAGAGGAGGAAUGCCUGGCCUCAUCAGGCAGCAGAGAACUCAUGGAGGCGGUUUCAUGCGGGUGUGCAGCUGCCUGUAGACUGAAGUUACAGCUUGAAAGAGACCUGUGAAGCUAGGGGAGAAGCUACAGCGAGCUUUUUUACUGUUCAAAGAGGACACCUCCUUCAAGGGAAAAGUGAGGAUGAACUCCCGAGGUAUUGAGUUCCCUGUAUCCAUCAUUUUCGACAAGUUGGGAGCUUGGAAUAGCACCAGCAGCGUCUGUGCUAGCCAGCCGUAACUGACAUUGAGUGCAUUGUUCGCAGUGGGAAGCUCACGGCUGUGGCCUAAAGGUACAUUCCUGAGAUCAGAAUUCUGUUUGAAAUACAAACAGCCUUUGUGCCCCCGUUGCUCUCUUCUCUUGACUCCCCCAUCCACAUCAAGCCUCCAGAGCUAAACGACCUCCUCUCAUUCAUGUGUCAACAUGUGGGCUAUCAUUUUACUCACACCCACAGAUGCUCACACACUUACACAAACAGACACACACAAACCCUUGUGUUAUUUUGAUGAUGAGGUCCAAGCAGAUAUCUGAGCUGUGGUGGAAGAAAAGCUGUGAAGUCCUAAUUUUUAAACACAAACACUGUCUCCUAUGUAACUGACCCUUUUUGAUAGCUAGACAAAACAUACAAGGAGAAGUAAAUUGUAUAAUAAAAUGAUCGAAAAUCAUAUUCAAGGCUGAAAGAGAAGUUGUGGGGUUUUUUGGCAUUUAAAAAUGCAGCUUGAUGCCUCAAGUCAACAUCCAGCUGCAUGAGUUUAGGUUUUUUAUAUAUGUUACUGUUGUUACCUUUGGUCAGAGUAAGAUAAUAUUUGUAAAUUUUGAACAAGAAUUUGUCUUUUAGAAAAGAUGCUUAGUAUAACUUGAAUAUAAAUUGAUAGAGUACAUAAUAUUUUUGAAUACUUCUAAUAACCAUCCAGUAUCAGUUUUCCUAUUUCUUUUUAAUAAAGGUCACUGGUCAAAUAAAAUGAAAUGCUUGUGUAUGUGCUUUGUGGUUGUCUAUAAAGUAGCAUACUUCAGAGAAAAUGUCAAUAGCUCAAUAACUAAUAAACCAAUCAAUAGUUUUUUUUUGUUUGCUACUGUGUUAAGAACAAUCAAAGCCAAGUAAGUAAAAGUUUAAUGGUUUUAUUAUUAGGCACCUGUUUGAUUCUUAUCCAUUUUUUAUUUUAUUUAAGAUUUGAUGCCUGUAUUAAACCGUAUGAUCUCUGUACAGUUUGCUAACAGAUUCAAAAAACAAAUAUUGAAAACUUGGGAUCCACAGGUGUUUGGGUUUUGGUUUUUUUCUGUUUUUCUGUUUUGUUCUUUGUUGUUAAUUAUGUUCUUUAGGUCUUGCCUUUUGUCAGUUAAUUUCUUCUUGCUCAUUAUUGUUAGAAAGAUGUCCUAUUAGUUCCUUCCUUUGUAUUUAGUUUCCUGGUUUAUUCUUGUGUUUAGAAUUAUUCCUGUUAGAUAUGUUAGAUUUUUCUCCUGGGUUUCUUUGUAUCUCAGUUCAGAUCUACUCGUAUUAAUUAGUCUCUCUUUCUCAGCUUCCCUGCUUUGCUUCUGCUUCAGCUGUUUUUCGUAAUCUCCUGAUUGACUCACCUGCAUCCUAUGUCAUUCUCCAUACCUCCUUCAGUAUUUAAGCUCACUGGUUUUCAUAGAUCAUUGCUGGUUUCUUCCCAUUGGACUGCCGGAUGUUCCGUUGCUUUGUUUCACAGCCUGUUUCUUCCUCCGUUGCUGCCUUUGCUUCUAGACCUGUUCUCCCUGUGAUUCCCCCUGUAAGCCCCUAUUGUUACUUAUGAAGGAACUCUGUUGUCAUUCAGUCUGCACUUGGGUCCUUCUCAAACCUAUACAAACAUGACAAAAGCAAGAUAUCAUCACCACUGUAAAACUUCCUUUUUGUUCUACAUCACGAGACGUAAGUGUAAUUUAUUUGUAACAAACCAAAACAAAAGGAUUUGAACUGAUUGUUUGCUUCAAACAUUGUUUGCGCUUUCUGUGUGCACAGUUUAUGUCUUUUUUACAUGUACUCUGUUUGGCACAGUGACAAUUAUCCUAAACCAGUACAAAAUCUUAGAAUGAAUGGGACUCAAAUUACUUGGUAAUGAAAUAAAAGUUUGACGCCGUUCCUUGA